rnacentral:rRNA from 1 species
CCUACGGGUGGCUGCAGUGAGGAAUAUUGGUCAAUGGCCGGGAGCCUGAACCAGCCAAGCCGCGUGAGGGACGAAGGUCCCAAGCAUUGUAAACUUCUUUUGUCAAGGGAGAAAAUCAGUCACGAGAGCAUGGCCGAGGGUACUUGAAGAAAAAGCAUCGGCUAACUCCGUGCCAGCAGCCGCGGUAAUACGGAGGAUGCGAGCGUUAUCCGGAUUUAUUGGGUUUAAAGGGUGCGUAGGCGGCCUUUUAAGUCAGCGGUAAAAUCCCGGGGCUUCACCCCGGUGAGCCUUUGACACUGGCGGGCUUGAGAAGUGGCGAGGUAGGCGGAAUGCG